GUGCUUUCUUCAGCAGUACAUAUACUGAAAAAAUGAAAGGAUACAGAGAACAUUAGCAUGGCCCCUAUUCAAGACUAACUCACAAAUUUGUGAAGCUUCCCAUAUUAAA